rnacentral:tRNA from 1 species
GGAAUAUAGCUCAGUUGGUAGAGUGUUUGCCCCACAUGCACAAGGCCCUGGGUUCAAUUCUCAGCACCA